ACGCUCGACACCUACAGGAGGCAGCAGUGGGGAAUAUUGCACAAUGGGGGAAACCCUGAUGCAGCGACGCCGCGUGAAGGAAGAAGUAUUUCGGUAUGUAAACUUCUAUCAGCAGGGAAGAAACUGACGGUACCUGACUAAGAAGCACCGGCUAAAUACGUGCCAGCAGCCGCGGUAAUCUGAGGCGGGCUGGCAAGGC
rnacentral:rRNA from 1 species